rnacentral:rRNA from 1 species
AACGUAGGAGACAAACGUUAUCCGGAGUUACUGGGCGUAAAGGGCGUGUAGGUGGUAAUGUAAGUCUGGCGUGAAAUUUUUCGGCUUAACCGGGAAAGGUCGUCGGAUGCUGCAUGACUAGAGGACGGUAGAGGCGUGUGGAAUUCCGGGUGUAGUGGUGAAAUGCGUAGAGAUCCGGAGGAACACCAGUGGCGAAGGCGACACGCUGGGCCGUACCUGACACUGAACCGCGACAGCAUGGGGAGCAAACAGG